rnacentral:lncRNA from 1 species
GCACUUCCGGCAGGCGGCGGGAGAAAAGAAAACCAGCUCUAAUAGGCUGGAGGGGGCAGGGAUGGAAAGGGUGCUGGUCCCGGGACCCUGGCUAAGCCCCCUCCCUUCAAGCCCGCAGGAGGAUCGCCCUCCGCCCUCCUGCUCCGGCCAAGCUAGGCCGCCGCGCUGGCUCCUCCCCGGUAUUCCUUCGGCCGCGCCGCAGGCCCUGUCCUGCCAGCUUGCAAGGUGCGCGGCUUCGCCUCCUCCUUCCAUCCUCCUCCGGCAGGCACACUCACCGCAUCCUCCCAGUUCUGCCUGUUGUAGGUGUUGGAACCCAGAGAGGUCGCCAUCUUGAGAGCGUCCGGAGGUAGCUGUAGCUUCCGAAUUGGGAGAGAGGACCGCCACAAUCCCGUCAAGCCCCGAGGCUAGCGCCGCGCCGGUCGGCGUCUUAUUUACGCGUCUAGGGCUUCUUCCGGGGCGGGGCCUUUGCGUCAUGACGUCGCCCGCUCUUGGAAUUUCUAAGCUUAACAAUUGGGGUCCUGGUAUAAUGCACCUGGAUGCUUCCUUCGAGUUUUUGCCUGCUUGGAAUGAAGGGCCACACGUACAGUUGAUUCAUUUAACAAUUGGGCGAAAGAAUAAAGGAAGACGUAAUGCAUCAGAGGCUGGGGUUAAAAUAGCGUUCGCUACCACUGAGGCGCUUAUUAUGCCAAACUCUGGGCGAACGUCUUGCGGUUCCAGUGUCUUAUUUAUUCGCAUAACCUCUCUGUAGGGCUCUCUGUAGGGCUGCCAGAUUCUGAUUCUGUCUCUCUCUCUCUCUCUCUCUCUCUCUCUCUCUCUCUGUCACUCACACACACACAUGCACACACACACACGCACGAAUUACAGAACGUCUAAAGUUGAAUUUCAGAUUAACGGCGAAUCGCUUUUUAAUUAUAAAUAUAUAUGGUACCUACUCGUCCUAAAGUAGGAUUCGUGGUUGACCUGAAAUUCACAUCACUUAACCAAUCGUCCUGUAUUUUAUCUGGUAACUCUACCCUGUAGGCAAGUAUGAUGAUCCCUCUUUUAUAGAAAAGAAAACAGGUUUAGAGAGAUUAACCUAAUCUCUCCUGAUAUAGCUCCUGGUUGUGGAGCUAAAAAGUGGUGAAGCCACAAAUUCAUUAGUACUGUUUCAUUUCCAGCUUCUGAAAUGACAAGGGUCUUACGAAUCAACAUAUGCAUUAUUUGAUUUUUGGAAUAACUCAUAACCACUCUGCCAAUAUUUUAUGAGUUUCAAGCCAUUCUGGUACCACUUUCAUACUUACCGUGUCAUCAAGCUACCUAACACAUUUAUUUAAAUCACCUCAUUAAAAAAAAAAGUUGAUUUAAAGUAUAAUUUACAUAAAGUUUUAUCCUUUUUAGUUUUGAAUUUUGUACAUACAUUCACUUACAGUCAAAUAUGGAAUUGUCUGUCAUCCCCAAAGUUCCCUUGUUUCUGUAGUUAGUCCACUUAUCCCAUACUCAAACCAUGGCAAUCACUAAUUUGUGUUCUGUCCCUAGUUUUGCCUUUUCCAGAAUGUCACAUAAGUGGAAUCCUAUAUAUCCUUUUGGAUCUGAUAUUUUUUCACUUAGUAUUUUGUAGUUGAGAUUCAUCCAUAUUAUUACAUGUAUCAAUAAUUUCUUCCUUUGUAUUACUGAGUAGAAUUCCAUUGUAUGGAUAUAUCAUACAAUUCACUUGCCAGUUGCUGGAUAUUUGGGUUGUUCCCAGAUUUUAGUGAAUAUAAAUAAAACCAUUAUAAACAUUCACAUACAGAUCGUUGUAUGGACAUUGGUUUUCAUUUUGCUUGUGUAAAUGCCUUAGAGUGAGAUUAUUUGAUCAUAUGGUAAGUAUAUCUUUUCCUUUAUAAGAAAGUCCUUGGGUUUAUCUGAGCUUCUUGGAUCUGUGAUUUGUUGUCUUUUAUUAUAUUUGGAAAAUUCUCAAGUAUCAUCUCUUCAGACUGUCUUCUGCCUGGUUUCUACAUCUGUGACUCCAAUUUCACAUGCCUUGUGAGGAGUGCAAGGUCAGAAAUAACAGAGUCCACGUACAUUUGUGUUUUUCCACAAUGCCAGACUUUUACUGAUGCUAUUUCAAUCACAAAAGCCACGAACUACAUGGAGUUUCCAAGAAAGCAAUUCUCCUUAGUACUUCCCACUCACUCAGCACUCAGAGUCUUGGACACACAGGCUCAAGGCACUCCACAGGUCAAUCAAUAUUGCAAAUCAUGCAUAAUGGUAUACUUAAUCAACAUAUAUAUUAUAGAGUGAACAUUCCACAAACAAAAUAACAUUUAACAUUAAGAGAAAAGAGAUAGGACCCUUUUCUCCUUUAAGUCUGGAGCCCUCAGAAUCAUCUCCUUUCCUUCCUUUUUCCCUCUUUCCUCCCCCAAUUUAUUUUUUAAUCUUUGUGGGACAUGACUUCUAGGAAUGAGCCUUCCUAGCAACAUGGAACAUGACUUCCUAGGAAUGAGCCUUCCUAGUAACGUGAGACCUGAAUUUCCUGGAAUAAACCAUCCUAGCGACAAGAAACCAGCUCAAAAAAGGAGGAAAAAGCGAACUGAGGCCAGGAACACAUAUU